UCCCUGGUAGUAUAUCGGUUAGUACACGCGCCUGUCAUCACUCUAUGGCCGCGCGAAAGCGGGGUUCGACUCCCCGCCAGGGAG